rnacentral:sRNA from 1 species
GUCUAUUUCGUGCUUAUCAAGAUUCAUGUUUUGGAUACAGUACUUCAUCCACAAAUAAAAGGAACGCUGAUAAAUCUGGUUUUAUGGUUCCGAGUCACUAGAGAGGGUCUGGAUUUAUUGGGACUACUAAUAACUUGGAAAGGAUUGGUGGGAAUGGAACGGUGAGGCUGAAUCAAAGGAUUUAAUUUGUUGGGGGCUUGGAGCUUGGUAACUGAUUCUUCAAUUUAAGUUUGGGUAUAGUGAGUAGACUUCAACUAAAAUGCUUUUGCGAAAAGAAUUUGGGAUUGAUUCGCAUAUUUAAUAAUGAUAUGUAAACAUUGGAAGUUCGGGACUUAGUAGUGAGAUUCCUUCAUCAUUUAAUAAUUUUGUGAACUUAGAAGAAUUUUGGGCACUUGUUUAUUGCCCUUGAGUUAAGGUUUUUUUUUCUAAAUUAAGCAAAAAUAAGUCACUUAACAAGAGAACAUAAAUGUGUCUGUAAAAACUUAAGUGCUGAUUUGUUAAUUUGUGAUAUAUGUUCUUAGAGCAAAUCCUACACUAUGAGAUGCUCUCUAAUGAUGUUACUUGUUCAGUGUCUAGGUUAUCUACUUAUCUCAUUUAAAUAUAGGACUGAGCUAUAGGUUUUAGAUCGUUGGAUACAUAAAAGAGACUUUUCUGCUUUAUCGAAAAACUAUUUUGUAAACGC